rnacentral:rRNA from 1 species
CCUACGGGAGGCAGCAGUGGGGGAUAUUGCACAAUGGGGGAAACCCUGAUGCAGCGACGCCGCGUGGGCGAAGAAGUAUCUCUGUAUGUAAAGCCCUAUCAGCAGGGAAGAAGAAAUGACGGUACCUGAGUAUGAAGCACUGGCUAAAUACGUGCCAGCAGCCGCGGUAAUACGUAGGGUGCAAGCGUUAUCCGGAUUUACUGGGUGUAAAGGGAGCGCAGGCGGCACGGCAAGCCUGAUGGGAAAGCCCGGGGCCCAACCGCGGGACUGCAUUGGAAACUACCGGGCUGGAGUGACGGAGAGGUAGGCGGAAUUCGUAGUGGAGCGGUGAAAUGCGUAGAUAUUACGAGGAACACCGGUGGCGAAGGCAGCCUACUGGACGGUGACUGACGCUGAGGCUCGAAAGCGUGGGGAGCAAACAGGAUUAGAUACCCCAGUAGUC